UCCGUAGGGUGCGAGCGUUGUCCGGAAUUAUUGGGCGUAAAGAGCUCGUAGGCGGUCUGUCGCGUCGGUCGUGAAAACUUGGGGCUUAACCCUGAGCUUGCGGUCGAUACGGGCAUGACUGGAGUUCGGCAGGGGAGACUGGAAUUCCUGGUGUAGCGGUGAAAUGCGCAGAUAUCAGGAGGAACACCGGUGGCGAAGGCGGGUCUCUGGGCCGAUACUGACGCUGAGGAGCGAAAGCGUGGGGAGCGAACAGG
rnacentral:rRNA from 1 species